ACUCAAAUGAAUAGACGGGGGCCCGCACAAGCGGUGGAGCAUGUGGUUCAAUUCGAAGCAACGCGAAGAACCUUACCAGCUCUUGACAUGUCCGGUUUGGAUUUCAGAGAUGAGAUCCUUCAGUUCGGCUGGCCGGAACACAGGUGCUGCAUGGCUGUCGUCAGCUCGUGUCGUGAGAUGUUGGGUUAAGUCCCGCAACGAGCGCAACCCUCGGCCUUAGUUGCCAUCAUUUAGUUGGGCACUCUAAGGCGACUGCCGGUGAUAAGCCGGAGGAAGGUGGGGAUGACGUCAAGUCCUCAUGGCCCUUACGGGCUGGGCUACACACGUGCUACAAUGGCGGUGACAGAGGGACGCAAAAGGGCAACCUUUCGCAAAUCUCGAAAAACCGUCUCAGUUCGGAUUGGGGUCUGCAACUCGACCCCAUGAAGUUGGAAUCGCUAGUAAUCGCGGAUCAGCACGCCGCGGUGAAUACGUUCCCGGGCCUUGCACACACCGCCCGU
rnacentral:rRNA from 1 species